AUUGAACGCUGGCGGCAGGCCUAACACAUGCAAGUCGAGCGGAUGAAGGGAGCUUGCUCCUGGAUUCAGCGGCGGACGGGUGAGUAAUGCCUAGGAAUCUGCCUGGUAGUGGGGGAUAACGUCCGGAAACGGGCGCUAAUACCGCAUACGUCCUGAGGGAGAAAGUGGGGGAUCUUCGGACCUCACGCUAUCAGAUGAGCCUAGGUUGGAUUAGCUAGUUGGUGGGGUAAAGGCCUACCAAGGCGACGAUCCGUAACUGGUCUGAGAGGAUGAUCAGCCACACUGGAACUGAGACACGGUCCAGACUCCUACGGGAGGCAGCAGUGGGGAAUAUUGGACAAUGGGCGAAAGCCUGACCGAGCCAUGCCGCGUGUGUGAAGAAGGUCUUCGGAUUGUAAAGCUCUUUUAGUUGGGAAGAAGGGCAGUAAGUUUAUACCUUGCUGUUUUGACGUUACCAACAGAAUAAGCACCGGCUAACUUCGUG
rnacentral:rRNA from 1 species